GUCCCCGUCCACAGACAAACAUUGUUGUUGGAGUUGUGUCUUUAAGUUCAACUAUUGUGGAGCUUGAUAUGAUGAAGCUUCUGGAAUUUUUACACUCAUCUCCGUCCACGCAUCACCCGUUCACGUAUCAUCCAUCCACGCAUCACCCGUCCACGUAGCAUCCGUCCACGCAUCGAAUGUCUAUUAAGGACAAAGUUGUCCACAAUUUAUUGCUGGCCCACAACAAAGUGUUUCACAUGUAGGAAGUGACUCUGAGUGUAAAGAAAAGUCAAAAAGUGGCCUAGAGAGUAAUCAACUCUUAAAAUUGUGACUUAUAAAGCUUUAUCAUUUAGUGCAAUCACUAUAUAAUCUACCUCUUCACAUCCAAUUUUUCCGAGGAGAAGAAGAACUACGACGUAGAAUCUAUAUUUCCCCGGUCAUGCCAAUGUCAUCAACUCUGGAUCAAGGUGGCUCUCAUCUCUCCCCCUC
rnacentral:lncRNA from 1 species